rnacentral:rRNA from 1 species
GAUGAACGCUGGCGGCGUGCCUAAUACAUGCAAGUCGAGCGAACAGACGAGGAGCUUUCUCCUCUGACGUUAGCGGCGGACGGGUGAGUAACACGUGGAUAACCUACCUAUAAGACUGGGAUAACUUCGGGAAACCGGAGCUAAUACCGGAUAAUAUAUUGAACCGCAUGGUUCAAUAGUGAAAGACGGUUUUGCUGUCACUUAUAGAUGGAUCCGCGCCGCAUUAGCUAGUUGGUAAGGUAACGGCUUACCAAGGCAACGAUGCGUAGCCGACCUGAGCGGGUGAUCGGCCACACUGGAACUGAGACACGGCCCAGACUCCUACGGGGGGCAGCAGUAGGGAAUCUUACGCAAUGGGCGAAAGCCUGACGGAGCAACGCCGCGUGAGUGAUGAAGGUCUUCGGAUCGUAAAACUCUGUUAUUAGGGAAGAACAAAUGUGUAAGUAACUAUGCACGUCUUGACGGUACCUAAUCAGAAAGCCACGGCUAACUACGUG